rnacentral:rRNA from 1 species
GAUGAACGCUGGCGGCGUGCCUAAUACAUGCAAGUCGAGCGAACGGACGAGAAGCUUGCUUCUCUGAUGUUAGCGGCGGACGUGUGAGUAACACGUGUAUAACCUACCUAUAAGACUGGGAUAACUUCGGGAAACCGGAGCUAAUACCGUAUAAUAUUUUGAACCGCAUGGUUCAAAGGUGAAAGACGGUCUUGCUGGCACUUAUAGAUGGAUCCGCGCUGCAUUAGCUAGUUGGUAAGGUAACGGCUUACCAAGGCAACGAUGCAUAGCCGACCUGAGAGGGUGAUAGGCCACACUGGAACUGAGACACGGUCCAGACUCCUACGGGAGGCAGCAGUAGGGAAUCUUCCGCAAUGGGCGAAAGCCUGACGGAGCAACGCCGCGUGAGUGAUGAAGGUCUUCGGAUCGUAAAACUCUGUUAUUAGGGAAGAACAUAUGUGUAAGUAACUGUGCACAUAUUGACGGUACCUAAUCAGAAAGCCACGGCUAACUACGUG